GAAAGGGUCACCUCGGAUGGACAGACCAGGAGCUCUCAGGAGGACAGGGGCAGAGCGCUGGACCAAGAAGCGGGAGACCAGGUCUUUGUGUGGAACCUCAGCUCCCAUGACUGACUGGUCAUCAGCACCCAGUUCCUCAAAGGCAGUUGGGAGAGCCCAGUUCAGCCUGCAACCCCAGACACCAUCAAGCCAGACUGGGAUUGAUGGUGUCGGGGACCCCAGUGAUGCUUCUGUCUGUUUUGCAGUUUCUGGCUUGAAGAGCACCCAAAUUCAAAGCUUGUUUUCAGAGGAUGGCCCUCAGAGAGAGUUGCCAGGUCUAUGGGCUUCCUUGGUGGCUCCGAUGGUAAAGAAUCUGCCUGCCAAGCAGGAGACUCGAGUUCGAUCCCUGGGUUGGGAAGAUCCCCUGGCGAAGAGAAAUGGCAACUGACUCCAGUAUUCUUGCCUGGAGAAUCCCAUGGACAGAGGAGCCUGGCAGGCUACAGUCCAGGGGGUCACAAAUGGUACUCUCUCCAUUAUCUCAGAAGCUGGACUCUGUCCCUCUCCCCCAGAAUCACUGCUACAUCUAUAUCUCCCUUGUGGCUGAUGGACAAGCCGAUUGACUGAGGGGCCGGGGAAGGCUCGAGGACAACCCCGGGGAGCAGAAGACACCCCAUUCCCUAACUUCUUCCCCUCCCAGCGCCCCCCCACAACCUCCUGGAACGCAGAUCCGCGUGGGCCUCACGUUCAGUGGGGUUUGGGUUAGCAAGGCC
ensembl:lncRNA